rnacentral:rRNA from 1 species
GUGAGGAAUAUUGGUCAAUGGACGAGAGUCUGAACCAGCCAAGUCGCGUGAAGGAAGACGGUUCUAUGAAUUGUAAACUUCUUUUGUGCAGGAAUAAAGUGGGUUACGUGUAACCUUUUGUAUGUACUGUACGAAUAAGGAUCGGCUAACUCCGUGCCAGCAGCCGCGGUAAUACGGAGGAUCCGAGCGUUAUCCGGAUUUAUUGGGUUUAAAGGGUGCGUAGGUGGAUUGAUAAGUCAGCGGUGAAAGUUUGCAGCUUAACUGGAAAAUUGGCGUUGAAACUGUCGGGCUUGAGUGCAAAUGAGGUAGGCGGAAUGUGUUGUGUAGCGGUGAAAUGCUUAGAUAUAACACAGAACUCCGAUUGCGAAGGCAGCUUACUGGGAUGCAACUGACACUGAUGCACGAAAGCGUGGGUAUCAAACAGGAUUAGAAACCCUAGUAGUCC